rnacentral:rRNA from 1 species
GGGUUGUGAGGUUAAGCGACUAAGCGUACACGGUGGAUGCCCUGGCAGUCAGAGGCGAUGAAGGACGUGCUAAUCUGCGAUAAGCGUCGGUAAGGUGAUAUGAACCGUUAUAACCGGCGAUUUCCGAAUGGGGAAACCCAGUGUGAUUCGUCACACUAUCAUUAACUGAAUCCAUAGGUUAAUGAGGCGAACCGGGGGAACUGAAACAUCUAAGUACCCCGAGGAAAAGAAAUCAACCGAGAUUCCCCCAGUAGCGGCGAGCGAACGGGGAGGAGCCCAGAGCCUGAAUCAGUGUGUGUGUUAGUGGAAGCGUCUGGAAAGGCGCGCGAUACAGGGUGACAGCCCCGUACACAAAAAUGCACAUACUGUGAGCUCGAUGAGUAGGGCGGGACACGUGGUAUCCUGUCUGAAUAUGGGGGGACCAUCCUCCAAGGCUAAAUACUCCUGACUGACCGAUAGUGAACCAGUACCGUGAGGGAAAGGCGAAAAGAACCCCAGCGAGGGGAGUGAAAAAGAACCUGAAACCGUGUACGUACAAGCAGUGGGAGCACGCUUCGGCGUGUGACUGCGUACCUUUUGUAUAAUGGGUCAGCGACUUAUAUUCUGUAGCAAGGUUAACCGAAUAGGGGAGCCGAAGGGAAACCGAGUCUUAACUGGGCGUUAAGUUGCAGGGUAUAGACCCGAAACCCGGUGAUCUAGCCAUGGGCAGGUUGAAGGUUGGGUAACACUAACUGGAGGACCGAACCGACUAAUGUUGAAAAAUUAGCGGAUGACUUGUGGCUGGGGGUGAAAGGCCAAUCAAACCGGGAGAUAGCUGGUUCUCCCCGAAAGCUAUUUAGGUAGCGCCUCGUGAAUUCAUCUCCGGGGGUAGAGCACUGUUUCGGCAAGGGGGUCAUCCCGACUUACCAACCCGAUGCAAACUGCGAAUACCGGAGAAUGUUAUCACGGGAGACACACGGCGGGUGCUAACGUCCGUCGUGAAGAGGGAAACAACCCAGACCGCCAGCUAAGGUCCCAAAGUCAUGGUUAAGUGGGAAACGAUGUGGGAAGGCCCAGACAGCCAGGAUGUUGGCUUAGAAGCAGCCAUCAUUUAAAGAAAGCGUAAUAGCUCACUGGUCGAGUCGGCCUGCGCGGAAGAUGUAACGGGGCUAAACCAUGCACCGAAGCUGCGGCAGCGACACUAUGUGUUGUUGGGUAGGGGAGCGUUCUGUAAGCCUGUGAAGGUGUGCUGUGAGGCAUGCUGGAGGUAUCAGAAGUGCGAAUGCUGACAUAAGUAACGAUAAAGCGGGUGAAAAGCCCGCUCGCCGGAAGACCAAGGGUUCCUGUCCAACGUUAAUCGGGGCAGGGUGAGUCGACCCCUAAGGCGAGGCCGAAAGGCGUAGUCGAUGGGAAACAGGUUAAUAUUCCUGUACUUGGUGUUACUGCGAAGGGGGGACGGAGAAGGCUAUGUUGGCCGGGCGACGGUUGUCCCGGUUUAAGCGUGUAGGCUGGUUUUCCAGGCAAAUCCGGAAAACUAAGGCUGAGGCGUGAUGACGAGGCACUACGGUGCUGAAGCAACAAAUGCCCUGCUUCCAGGAAAAGCCUCUAAGC